GUUGAUCUCUUCCAAAUUAGGGUUGCCGUCUUCUACGAGAUUUUUCUUACAAGGGCGCUUCCUCUUCCCCAGUUUUCAUAUUACUGAUCAUUAUGACUCGAUCUCUGCCGUGGUCGCGAUUACUCUACCUGUAACGUAUUCUCCCGCUUCCUAUAUAUAUAUAUCAAUAUCGCCUACAGUGAGGUGUUCCCGUCCCUACCGCCGCAGACGCUAACGCCGUCGUCGCCUACUCUACGUUCAACAGUCUCCGCCUUCAUCAGGUGUUCCCGUCCCUAUCCUCUCAGUCCAUUGUUGGUCGCCUCAUCCGGUUCUGGGAUACUCGGAACGUCCACAAAAAUGGGGAGUUUAUGGCAAUAACUAUUCUCCUCCUCGAUGAACAGGACUCGGUGAUCAAUGGUUUCAUUCCCGCAAACCUGGCCAGCCAGCUCCGGUCGUCUUUGAAAUCCGGUUCUAUUGUGAGAUUGAACGGUUUUGAAGUUGCUCGGAUCGCUCACAUGUACAAGAUCACGGAACAUCAGUUCGUGAUCCGUUUCAUUCCUUCAACACGUAUUGAUGAAGUCUUGGCUGACGCUCCUGUGAUCAAGUCCGACAAGUUCCUGGUGCGGCGUAUUGACAUCUUCAAGUGUUUGCCAACACCAACCUACCAACCUAGAGCUCUCAGAUGUUGUGGGUGAAAUACGCUCCGUGAAGGGGUCCGAUCUCCAGAACAACGCAGCCACAAGCAGAAUUGUUGUUCGCCUACUAAUCGAACCGACUGUGACCGUCAACGUAUCUUUGUGGGACGAGGCGCCUUCUUAAAUCCCUGUCCGUUGUGUUAGUGACCUCAGUAAAUCCUAAACUGUUUGGAGGUGAACUGUAUUUAAACUCCACACAAGGAACUAGGUUCUUCUUUGACACCACCGUUCCUGAAAUAGCAGAGUUUGUGGGCAGGGUUGGGGCUGAAGCAGCUCAAGGGUAUACCUGCAUUAACAUCUCAUUCUGACAUCCACAUAUUCAUUAUGUGUUGCGUUUAAUUUGACGAUCAUUAUAAUUGAAGUCAA